rnacentral:rRNA from 1 species
AUUGAACGCUGGCGGCAGGCUUAACACAUGCAAGUCGAACGGAACCUUCGGGUUUAGUGGCGAACGGGUGAGUAAUACCUAGGAAUCUGCCUAUUAGUGGGGGAUAACGGCUCGAAAGGGUCGCUAAUACCGCAUACGUCCUACGGGAGAAAGAGGGGGAUCUUCGGACCUCUUGCUAAUAGAUGAGCCUAGGCCGGAUUAGCUAGUUGGUAGGGUAAAGGCCUACCAAGGCGACGAUCCGUAGCUGGUCUGAGAGGAUGAUCAGCCACACUGGAACUGAGACACGGUCCAGACUCCUACGGGAGGCAGCAGUGGGGAAUAUUGGACAAUGGGGCGAACCCUCGAUCCAGCCAUGCCGCGUGUGUG